AUACGGAGGGGGCUAGCGUUGUUCGGAUUUACUGGGCGUAAAGGGCGCGUAGGCGGAUUGUCAAGUCAGAGGUGAAAGCCCUGGGCUCAACCUGGGAACUGCCUUUGAAACUAACGGUCUAGAGUCCGAGAGAGGAUGGCGGAAUUCCCAGUGUAGAGGUGAAAUUCGUAGAUAUUGGGAAGAACACCAGUGGCGAAGGCGGCCAGCUGGCUCGGUACUGACGCUGAGGCGCGAAAGCGUGGGGAGCAAACAGGAGUAGAAACCCCGGUAGUCC
rnacentral:rRNA from 1 species